AUAGAAUGGAAUUCCAAUUUCAAUUUCAAUUUUAAGUUCCAAGUUCUUCUCAUUCAUAUUGGUCCUAUUUAUACUAUUAAGGGCGAAGCAACCCGAAUGUUGCACCGUAGAUGGCGAAAGUUCAGUAGUCAAAAGUAUAACUAGCUUAGGCUCUGAUUCGAGUAACAUAAGGCACGUGGAAUUUCGUGUGAAUCAGCAAGGACCACCUUGCAAAU
rnacentral:ncRNA from 1 species